GACCUCGGAUCAGGUAGGGAUACCCGCUGAACUUAAGCAUAUCAAUAAGCGGAGGGAAAGAAACCAACAGGGAUUGCCUCAGUAACGGCGAGUGAAGCGGCAACAGCUCAAAUUUGAAAUCUGGCUCUUUCAGGGUCCGAGUUGUAAUUUGUAGAAGAUGCUUUGGGUGUGGCUCCGGUCUAAGUUCCUUGGAACAGGACGUCAUAGAGGGUGAGAAUCCCGUAUGUGACUGGUUGCCUUCGCCCGUGUAAAGCUCUUUCGACGAGUCGAGUUGUUUGGGAAUGCAGCUCAAAAUGGGUGGUAAAUUUCAUCUAAAGCUAGAUAUUGGCCAGAGACCGAUAGCGCACAAGUAGAGUGAUCGAAAGAUGAAAAGCACUUUGGAAAGAGAGUUAAACAGUACGUGAAAUUGUUGAAAGGGAAGCGC
rnacentral:rRNA from 1 species